UGCUUAACACAUGCAAGUCGAACGGAAAGGCCCUUCGGGGUACUCGAGUGGCGAACGGGUGAGUAACACGUGGGUGAUCUGCCCUGCACUUUGGGAUAAGCCUGGGAAACUGGGUCUAAUACCGAAUACACCUCUGGAGUUGCAUGAUUCUGGGGGGAAAGCUUUUGCGGUGUGGGAUGGGCCCGCGGCCUAUCAGCUUGUUGGUGAGGUUAUGGCUCACCAAGGCGACGACGGGUAGCCGGCCUGAGAGGGUGUCCGGCCACACUGGGACUGAGAUACGGCCCAGACUCCUACGGGAGGCAGCAGUGGGGAAUAUUGCACAAUGGGCGCAAGCCUGAUGCAGCGACGCCGCGUGAGGGAUGACGGCCUUCGGGUUGUAAACCUCUUUCGCCAGGGACGAAGCGCAAGUGACGGUACCUGGAGAAGAAGCACCGGCCAACUACGUGCUAGCAGCCGCGGUAAUACGUAGGGUGCGAGCGUUGUCCGGAAUUACUGGGCGUAAAGAGCUCGUAGGUGGUUUGUCGCGUUGUUCGUGAAAACUCACAGCUUAACUGUGGGCGUGCGGGCGAUACGGGCAGACUGGAGUACUGCAGGGGAGACUGGAAUUCCUGGUGUAGCGGUGGAAUGCGCAGAUAUCAGGAGGAACACCGGUGGCGAAGGCGGGUCUCUGGGCAGUAACUGACGCUGAGGAGCGAAAGCGUGGGGAGCGAACAGGAUUAGAUACCCUGGUAGUCCACGCCGUAAACGGUGGGUACUAGGUGUGGGUUUCCUUCCUUGGGAUCCGUGCCGUAGCUAACGCAUUAAGUACCCCGCCUGGGGAGUACGGCCGCAAGGCUAAAACUCAAAGGAAUUGACGGGGGCCCGCACAAGCGGCGGAGCAUGUGGAUUAAUUCGAAGCAACGCGAAGAACCUUACCAGGACUUGACAUCCCUCUGACAGUCCCUUAACCGGGAUCUCCCUUCGGGACAGAGUGACAGGUGGUGCAUGGUUGUCG
rnacentral:rRNA from 1 species